CAGCAGCCCGACCAGAGUGGAGCUCUUUUUCUUUUUUUGCAAAAAAAGAAAAAAGCGGGAACGGAGGGCGGAUUAAGC
rnacentral:misc_RNA from 1 species